UGUGCUUAAAUAAGCAAAAUAUAAUAAAAUUGUAUUUUUAAUAAUCGUGUUAAUUAUUGCGUUAAUACAAAGAUUUUAUACACAUAAAUUUGCAACAAAAUUGCCUUUGUGAAUGCGUUGGCUCUUUAAGAUUAAUCUUCUUGAGGUUCCCAGUUUUUUGUUCUAAAUUAAAUUUGUAUAGCAAAUUCAAUAAAUCGGUCAAAAAAGGAAUUUCUUUUGAUUUCUAAUUGUUUAAUUAUAAAAAACUACAGUGGCCUUAUCAUAUUAGCCAAUACUGUUGUAAUUGCUAAUAAUUGUUUAAUGAGAAGCAUAAAAAAAAAUCUUAGCAACAAAAUAAAAAUUAAAACAAUUAAACAUUCCAAAAGAAAACAACAAAAUAAAGGGUUUAUAAGAAGUUUAUAAAGAAGAAGAGUUUCGCAGCAUUCUUUGAACAAAUGAAACUUCGCAACAUUUACUAGCGGUAAUGACACGAGAUUGCAAUUUUAUUUUUGAGAAACACAAUCAAUUGAAGAAACAAAAAGUGCAGUGAAAAGAAGAAUUAUAUGAAAAAAAUUAUCCAGAAAAGCAGUAAAUUAAAGAUAAUUAUUAAUAUUUGUAUCCAAAUCCGAAAAAUCUUCAAAUUCAUCCAAUUCUGGCCCACGAGCUAUUAUAUUGAGAAAAACAACAACAACAUCAACAUUAUCAUCAUCAUUUCCUUAAAAAGUGUUAAAAAUCAUUUUUAACCCUUAAUUUUAAGUAUAUACAACUAUAUCCAACCCUGUCACUUAACUACAAAUUAUAAGAGACAUUGCUAUUAUCAGCAACAUUUUCAGCAGCGUUUGAAGAGGCCUCAUCAACAGCUGUGUUUCGCAACAUUUUUAUUGCGGUGAGUCAACAUUUAAAUGUUUAUCUUUACUAGUUAUGAUCUCUUAAUUUAAAAAGUUGCUUACAUCACUGUUAUACUAAGCUAAUACUAAGAAACAAAAAAUCCAAGUUCAGAACCCUUUUUAGCAACAAUUAAUGUUGCAGAAUCUUUUUUAUAAAAAUAUCUAUACAUGUUUUUUUGUUUCU